rnacentral:rRNA from 1 species
ACCCGCUGAACUUAAGCAUAUCAAUAAGCGGAGGAAAAGAAACCAACAGGGAUUGCCCUAGUAACGGCGAGUGAAGCGGCAACAGCUCAAAUUUGAAAUCUGGCGUCUUUGGCGUCCGAGUUGUAAUUUGUAGAGGAUGCUUUUGGGCAGCCACCGGUCUAAGUUCCUUGGAACAGGACGUCAUAGAGGGUGAGAAUCCCGUAUGUGACCGGCUUAGGCACCCUAUGUAAAGCUCCUUCGACGAGUCGAGUUGUUUGGGAAUGCAGCUCUAAAUGGGAGGUAAAUUUCUUCUAAAGCUAAAUACCGGCCAGAGACCGAUAGCGCACAAGUAGAGUGAUCGAAAGAUGAAAAGCACUUUGGAAAGAGAGUUAAAAAGCACGUGAAAUUGUUGAAAGGGAAGCGCUUGCAAUCAGACUUGCCCGCGGUUGUUCAGCCGGUCUUCUGACCGGUUUACUCUUCCGUGGGCAGGCCAGCAUCAGUUUCGGUGGCCGGAUAAAGGCCUUGGGAGUGUAGCACCCCUUCGGGGGUGUGUUAUAGCCCAGGGUGUAAUACGGCCUGCCGGGACUGAGGUCCGCGCUUCGGCUAGGAUGCUGGCGUAAUGGUUGU